rfam:Picea glauca, whole genome shotgun sequence.
ACUCAGGAUUUUUUAAAAUCUACCAUAGAGUCAAGAAGGAUUUUUUU